CUUCCGCGUAAUGAGGUGCCUGUGUCCUAUUAGCUAGUAGGUGGGAGAAGAGCCUACCUAGGCGAUGAUGGGUAGCCGGGUUGAGAGGCUGACCGGCCACACUGGGACUGAGACACUGCCCAGACUCCUGCGGGAGGCUGCAGUCGAGAAUCUUCGGCAAUGGGCGCAAGCCUGACCGAGCGAUGCUGCGUGGAUGAUGAAGGUCUUCGGAUUGUAAAAUCCUGUUAGAAGCUAGGAAAUGCGUAUAUCUUAAUAAGUAAUACGUUUGACAUAAACUUCAGAGAAAGCCACGGCUAAAUUCGUGCCAGCAGCCGCGGUAAUACGAAUGUGGCGAACGUUAUUCGGAAUUACCGGGCGUAAAGGGCGUGUAGGCGGCGUAUAUAGUCUGAUGUGAAAUCUCUCAGCUCAACUGAGAAAUGUCGUUGGAAACUGAUAUGCUAGAGUUCGAUAGGGGAAAGCGGAACUCCAUGUGGAGCGGUGAAAUGCGUAGAUAUGUGGAGGAACGCCGGCGGCGAAAGCGGCUUUCUGGAUCGGAACUGACGCUGAGGCGCGAAAGCCAGGGUAGCGAACGGGAUUAGAUACCCCGGUAGUCCUGGCUGUAAACGAUGGGUACUAGGUAGUAGUGGAGUAAGUGCCAUUACUGCCGGAGCAAACGCGUUAAGUACCCCGCCUGGGGAGUACGACCGCAAGGUUGAAACUCAAAGGAAUUGACGGGGGCUCACACAAGCGGUGGAGCAUGUGGUUUAAUUCGAAGCAACGCGAAGAACCUUACCAGGAUUUGACAUGUAGGUGGUACCGAUAUGAAAGUUGACGGACCUGAGCAAUCAGGAGCCUAUACAGGUGUUGCAUGGCUGUCGUCAGCUCGUGCCGUGAGGUGUCGAGUUAAGUCUCUUAACGAGCGAAACCCUUGCCACUAGUUACCAGCGCGUAAUGGCGGGGACUCUAGUGGGACUGCCGCGUAAAAGUUGGAGGAAGGUGGGGACGACGUCAAGUCAUCAUGGCCCUUAUGUCCUGGGCUACACACGUGCUACAAUGGUCGUGACAGAGGGAAGCGAGUCCGUGAGGCGGAGCAAAUUCCCAGAAACACGUCCC
rnacentral:rRNA from 1 species